AAACGUAGUCCAACAACGAAAGAGCCCUGAAGCUCAAGCGGAGCCCGCUGGCCGCAGGGGCCGCACCACGCCCCAGACCCUGGAGUUUCCGGGUGCGCAGACCCUUGCCAUCAGCAGAGGCUGCCGCUGCGCGUCCCCUAGGCGCGGAAGAGGCGGCUGGUGGUCCCUGACGGCAAGGUUUUAUACAUUACGAAUAAAGCUGGCACGUUUCCAUUUCUCCUGGGCAAAUAUUUAGAAGAAAAGUUGCUGGGUAAUUGGCACCCACUACUAUACCUGGCUAAUUUUUGUAUUUUGUAUUUUAGGUGGAGACAAGGUUUCGCCACAUUGACUGGGCUGGUCUGGAACUCCUGAGCUCAAGCAACCGGCCCUCCUUGACCUCCCAAAGUGCUAGGAUUACAGGUGUGAACCACCGUGCCCGGCCCUACUUUCUAUCGAAGUAGAAUAGGUAGAUCACAUUAUUAUUAACAGUAUAUGGGAAGAGGGAGGUCCUCCCAUGUUACAUUGUUCUCCCUUCACCUUCUGGGUCAUGUUGCACCACUGUUUCCCUUCUAGUCAUAUCCCAGGGGGCCUUGUCCCAUUUAUACAGCUCUAUUCUAGUGGUCACCAGAGGAAUGGGAGUAAUCUGAUUGAAAGAUAAGACAGAAGAUUGUACUCUCUUUUUUUUUUUUUUGAGACAGAGUCACCCAGGCUGGAAUGCAGUGGCAUUGUCAUGGCUCACCGCAGUCUCAAACUCCUGGGCCCAAGUGAUCCUCCCACUCAGCCUCCUGAGUAGCUGGGACUAGAGGCACAUGCAACCACAUGCAGCUAUUUUUUUUUAAAUUUUCUGUAGAGACAGGGUCUCACUGUGUUGCUCAGUUUGUCUCAAACUCCUGGGCUCAAGUGAUCCUCCUGCCUUGGCCUCACAAAGUACUAGGAUUACAGGCAUGAGUCACCACACUCAGCUGAACUCUACUCUUUAUGUUCAGGAAAGCACUGGAGAAGAGAGAGGACAAGAGAAACAGGUCCGUAGUGACAGGAGCCUAGGAAUAGAGCAGGCCUUCAGUCUUGGUGAAAAAAUAAAUGGUAUUCUAAGCCUUCCUUUGGACAUUAA
rnacentral:lncRNA from 1 species